GAAUUUUGUUGGCUGGUUAUAUAUAUAUAUACACACACAUAUACUGUGGGUGGUCGAUAUGCCCUAGGUGGGGCAUUAUUCACGAGGCCGAACAACUUUCAGGAGCUUUUGUCCUGGGUUUCUCAGUCCCUUUCUGCACCUUCAACAUUUGAUUCUACUGUAAAAUCCAAAUCACAUCUCUCUCUCUCCCUCAGUCUCUGUGACUCAUUAUUAUUUUUAUUUUAUUGGGUUACGAAUAUAUUAAACAAGAUUCUUUCAUCUCCAACGUCACGAUUCUUCCUUCUUUGUCAACCCAUCUUCUUCUUCUUCUUCUUCUUCUUCUUCUCAUGAUCAAUCCAUCACCAUGCCUGUAAUGCGAGUGAUGCUUGGAUCACUGGUGAGCCUUGUGACGGCAUUGAUAUCCCGGCCGGCAGCUACUACCACAACCUUGCUCUACCACAGUGAUCUCCUCCCUCGAAAUUUCAACUCACGGCAAAGGCGGUUAGAGCGAUUGGUUCAACGAGACUAUCUCGUUCAAGAAAAUUGCCUUUUCAGCUCUCUCAUCAACGUUUUGAGAUGUUUUUGGUAGCAUACAACUUGUAUAUAUAACACAACAUGCGUUUGGGUUAAUCACUGUCACGUGAUCGUUAGGGUUUUUAUUUGUAUAACAUGGUGUGGUGGCAAAUGACACCAUACUUGUGGAGUUGAGUUGGCAAAAAAUUUCCUUAUGUAAUAUGCCUUGAGCGAGUGCAGAUUUUGCUUGGUUGAA